CCUGUAGCUCAGUUGGUAGAGCAGAGGACUGAAAAUCCUCGUGUCGUUGGUUCGAUUCCGACCGGGGC
rnacentral:tRNA from 1 species